rnacentral:rRNA from 1 species
GCGCGUAAAUUGCCCGAAUCCUGACACAGGGAGGUAGUGACAAGAAAUAACAAUACAGGGCUACUUCUAGUCUUGUAAUUGGAAUGAGUACAACUUACAUCUCUUCACGAGGAUCAAUUGGAAGGCAAGUCUGGUGCCAGCAGCCGCGGUAAUUCCAGCUCCAAUAGCGUAUAUUAAAGUUGUUGCAGUUAAAAAGCUCGUAGUCGGAUUUCGGGUCGGGCCGAGCGGUCUGCCGAUGGGUAUGCACUGUUCGGCGCGGCCUUCUUUCCGGAGACCGCGGCUACUCUUAACUGAGCGGGCGUGGGAGACGGAUCGUUUACUUUGAAAAAAUCAGAGUGUUUCAAGCAGGCAGCUCGCUCUUGCAUGGAUUAGCAUGGGAUAAUGAAAUAGGACUCUGGUGCUAUUUUGUUGGUUUCGAACACCGGAGUAAUGAUUAACAGGGACAGUCAGGGGCACUCGUAUUCC